GCCUGAUGGGCGUCCUCUCUUCUCCCAGAAGCUUCUGGCUGGCUGCCUGUCCCUGACCUGAUUUUCGGGGCUUUUAGCUCUGGGGUGGGCAACGGGUUAGCCAAAGAGCACCUUGCUCAUGGUCAGUUUAGCAUCUGCAGGGCCGUGAGGACGUCUGCUGAGUCCGUAUCGUAGGAUGGAGAGACAAACCCUGGAGCAGGUGCCCCGGUGCCCGCAGAGUUGAGCGUCAUCACCGCCGCAGCCUCCUCCUGCUGGAGUGUGUGUGGCGCAUGCGCGCGGCCUUCCCGCCGCGUCCUGCCGAUGCUCUCUGUUCUCCGUGUGGGAGUCCAAGGCCACGGGAUCCUUUCUUUCUCUCUUUCCCUCCACCCCCUCGGCCUGUUUCCCAGGGAAUCGCUCCAUCCGGUACAGUGUGCUUCUCUCACCUGCAGAUCCCUGAUCCUGCAAACCCUCUCCGGAGCCAGGGCCGCAGGCCGCCUCCACGCGGGCCGCAGCUAAGUGGAUUCCACAGAGACUGAGACACAGAUUUAACAAUAAACGAGUGAGUCAUACUGGGUGGUUUAGACCAGUGCCUGGCACUCAAUAAGUGUUAGGUAAGUGCUAAACAAAUAGAAACUGGUGGUGGUGAUGCAUGCCUAUAAUUCCAGCACUUGGGGGGCUGAGGCAGGAGGAUCUCAGCCUGUGCUACAUAAUGAGACUCUGUUGCAAAAAACCUAAAUAAAUAAAUAUAACGCUAAAAAAAUAAUAAAAUACAGACAAAUCAGGGUGGGGAAGUCUGUGAAGACACCUACACUUGGGGCAGUCGAGUCUCCUCACAGAUCUUCCCCAGCCUACUUUGGAAACUUUAUUCAGUGCUAGGGAUUGAGCCCAGGCCCUCACACACAUUGGGCAGAGGCUCUACCGCUGAGCUACAUCCUCCUCCUCAAGUGUUCAGUCCAGAGGCUCGGUUUUCUUGCCUAUUAAGUGAAAAUCAUAAUGAUAGCUCAAGAGGGUUGUGGCCCAUACCAAGUGAGACCAGGGAGAUAUCAGAGAUGAAAGUCUCUCCUCUGGGAACUGUAAAGCACUCACUCUGCAAACGUUCCUUUCUUAGGGUUCCUUUCUCAAAGUGCGGCCCAGUAAAGGGGCUGGAAGGUGUUCUGUGGCACAGAAGCAGUCUCAGGGUGACCUGCUCUUCACCCUAGCCCCCUCUGGCCACAGCCAUGUGUGGGGCAGGGGACAGCUGUGUCCCUGGCUCCCAGCAUGGGAACACAGUGCACCUUGAGUCCUAGAUGGGGGAGUACAGUCACAGGGAUCCCCAGGUGGCAGCUCUACUGUGCCCACGGCAACAGCCUUCUGGGAUAGGUGAAGUCCAGGGCUGCCUGAGAAGCGGAGGACCAGAAGUAACCUCCUGUUCCCAGAGAAAGGGCACAGUGAGUUUUAAAUGAGCAUCUUCAUGAAUGCGCUGGAGCUACGCAGCCCUUUCCAGCAGCCCAUUCUAGCAGCGGAGGCUGCUGUACUGUCCGGGCACAACCCACUGGGCCUGCCUUCCCCGAAUGGGCUUCGCAAAACAGCAGAGACAGAGAACUUGCUGUGAGCGGGGAGAAGUCGCUCUUCCUUUCCCUGUCACUGGGAGGGAGUCAGGGUUACAUGUUGGUGCCUCUAGGAAUAAAUUACAGAAACAUGAAAGUGACUCACCCAGACUGUGGCGAAGACAGGACUCUGGGGUACACUGCACAGAAGAAGCUGCCACAGAGGGAGACCAGUGAUAAAAAGCCACCAAGGAGAGGGGUGCCAGAAAAGGGACCAGGAGGGAUGGAGCUCUUCAAAAUCAGUUUUUUAGCAGGGCAUAGUGGUGCACACCUGUAAUCCUAGCACUUGGGAGCCUGAGACAGGAGAGUCAUUGUGAGGACAAGACCAGCCUGGGCUGCAAAGUGAGCUAAAGGCCGGUCUAAACUGCAUAGCAGGACCCCGUCUCAAAACACUAAAAAGGGAAAAAAAAUAAAAUGGUAAGAUAACACAGUAAGAUUACUAAGACCCAAUUCGUAUUGACCAAUAUGUGACUGACCAGGGCUGUGGAGAUGGCAGCCAGAUGCCUAGGGACAGCCUGGGGGAGAUCAUACCACUCUCCCAGUGAGCUGCAGAGAGAGGGAUGGGAGCGUGGCAGGCCUGAAAACCUGGCCCUAGAAUGGAAAUGGAAGGCCAAGGGAGGAGCCUUUCUGGGCAGUUCAGCAGACCAAUGCUAUCCUUCCUGGCCCUCAUCACUCAAGGUCCUCAAGUGGCCUUGGAGACCAUGACAGGCACUACCCCAGCCUCCUGCCAGAGCUGCCCUAAAGCCAGUCCACACCGACCAGAAGCAGCUCCCUGUGAAGGGGAUUCCUCCAGAACUGUGGGAAAUUAUUCAAAUGGCUAACAGCCCUGCUUUUUAUUUUUUAGUUUUUUGAGACAGUCUUGCUGUGUAUUCCAGGUUGGCUUUGCACUCAUGGUGAGCCUCCUGCCUCAGCCUGUCAAAGUAGGGGAUCACAGGAGUGUGCCACCAUGCCUGGAUGCUUGGAAGAUUUGGGAUGUGGAGAGCAGAGCACAGCCACUAACUUACUGGGUGACCUUUAACAUUCAGCCCACACAUGGCAGGCCAGGGACCUGCUGUGACCACAGGAUUCCAGCCAGCCCCAUAGGACUUUCUUUUGAGUUGAGGGGAAAGAUCAGCUGAGUGGGAACAGAGUCAGCCCCACCCAUUGGUCUGUUCUGACGGAGGGAUCCACACAAACCUGGGGGGGGAUCUGGUGCUCAAAAUUUUGCCCACCAUCGGGCUGGAUAUGGACAAUAACGUGACUGAUCUUUAACUGCGAUCCUCCUGCCUCAGCCUGUCAAGCACUGGAAUUACAGGUAUGCACCAUCAUGCCCAGCUAUUCUGGGAAAAAAUAUUUAUAUCCAUUUUAUUUCAAGGAGAAAUGAAGAAAUAAAGGAGAAAAGAAGAAGACAAGAAACUACAACAAAAUUUCAAAACACAUCAAUGAGGCAACAACAGUGGUACCUACAUUGUACAUUGUCAUCCCCAAAUCUUUCUUCCAGAGCACAAGACAUCUGUGUUCCAUUGUCCAAACAACACCAGCACAGAUCUUUGUCUUCAGUAAACUCAGAGAAAUCAGUAGUGUAGCUGUCUUAGCUAGUUUUUUAUAUACACAUGUAUGCGUUCUUUUAGCUUCUCAUGCUAGUAAGACAAUAUGAUGUUUACACAUGUGUGUCUGAUUUAUUUCACUCAUGUGUAUGAUCUCAGGUUGCAUCCAUUUACCUAUAAAAGUCUCCAGUUUAUCCUUCUUUAUGGCUGAGUAUUACUACGUUGUGUGAAAAUACAUCUUUUUUAUCCAUUCCUUAGUUGAUGGGCAUUUAAGGUUGUUUCCAAGAUCUGGCUAUUACAAACUGUGCUGCUAUAAACAUGGAUGCACAUAUAUCACUGUGGUAUGAUGUUUUUAAUUCUUUUGGGAGGAUACCCAGAAGGGGAAUAGCUGGAUUGAAUGGGACCUCUAAUCCUAGUUUUUUGAGGAAUCUCCACACUGAUUUCCACAGUGGUUGCACAAUCUGCAUUCUCAGCAACAGUGGAGAAGGGUUCCUUUUUCCCCACAUCCCCUCUAGCAUUUGUUAUUGGUUGAUUUCUUGCUAACAGCCGUUCUGCCUGGGGUGAGGUGGAAUCUCUGUGUUUUAAUUUGCAUCUCUCAAGGGAUCAGUGAUGUCAAGCAUUUUUUCACAUAUGUAUUUGCCAUUUGCAUUUCCCCAUCUGAGAAGUGUGUGUUCAUCUCAGGUGGCCAUUUUUGGACUGGGCGUUUAAAUCUGGGAGGACUGAUUUUUGUGAGUUCUUUAUAUGGGGAGAUGCUUUUUUAAAGCAUGAUAGAUGCCAUUUUCUCACUUCCGCAGUGCGCUACCUUUUGUAUUGGCCGGUGAGUGACGCGGUUGCUGUCCUUGAAACGGAGUCCUCGCCGAAUACAGCUGAAGGAGGGCUCGGCCUCGCUGGCUGCUGGCCAUGGGUCUGCUACUCUACUCAGUCACAUGCACUUUCCUGCGGCCAGUUUCUCUGUGUCCUGCGGCUCACGAGACCCUGGCAGAGCAGCUGGACAUCUCCUUUCUUCUGGAAAUGCAGCAACAUGAAAAGAAGAGCUGUUAUUUCCAAGGGUGGAAGUCGGGGCAAGGAUCUGUGUGGCUCAGGUGCAAGCUGGUUCCUACAUCAAGACCCCGAGUCCCCACUCGUAAUUUUUCCUCUGCACAGAUUCCGGUACCUUUGCACUUGGGAAAAAGUUCAGAUUCCACGGCCGGACCUCUGACCCUUGGUUCGUGGCUGGGGGGACAAGUGACAGACAAAGAGGGAAGUGGUGAGUGCUGGGAGGUCUGCUAGCACCUGUGAAAUCUGCAGAGCGAGAAAUACACAGGAGUCAUCCACAUGACACUAUUCAAGGCAGUGUCUAAUGUUUGGGGUCGGUGCUUCAGCUCUGAUGUCCAUGCUUCAUGCCCCGAGACAACAUGGAUUCUCUCUCAAGCUUCAGUCUCGGCUGACAGCUCAAUAUCAGUCACCCAGCCCACGCAUACUCGUUGGGAGCUGCAGGUGGGGCAUCACUGGUACCUUGCCCCUUGCUUUAAAGGCUACACAUCAGCACCCAGUGGUCCUCUGCAUUGUGGGAAGUCACCUUCUAUGUCAUCAACUCGACACUCCCUUCUGCAUUCCCUGCCCCAACAGACUCCGCCAGCCUUCAGCUCCCUCCUGAGUCACAAGUGACCUAUUUUCCUUUAGACAUUCUCAUGCCCUCCAUGCAUAUUCAAGGAAAGAGAUCAUCAUCUCCCACAGAGGAUUCAAGGGAAUGUGGCAGGGUGUGGUCCUCCAGCCCCACGUGAGCAACUGUACCAUGAAUGCCACCAUCCCAGCAGGCACCACAGCAGCAGAGGAACUGCCAUCCAGCCGGGCGCUUUGAAUGCAGAGUGCUGGCCACAGGGCCAGAGAGAGGGGAGGGAUGUUUUACCCUCACGAGGCCCGUCACUCCCUCAUCCCAUGACACUUAUAAAAACUUCUGCUGCCCCACUGGGCUCUCUGCGGGUCACCACAGGUCUCCCUUGGUCAUGCCACUGGUCAUCACCGAUUUCUGCUGGUUGCCCCAGGUGUCACCGGGUCUUUUUGCUGUCCACUCAGCUCACUCUACAUGAGAUAAGAAUCAAGGGUAGGCAAUAGGACCACAGAGUGAGCCUUUACAGGGAGCUAUGCUGUGGCACAGGGCUGCGUGCUCUCGUGGCCCCCGGAGUAUUUGGGGGCCCACUGUAGACUGAGCCACAGAGGCUGCAUCUGUGGCUGUGCACAUUCUGUGGGCUUGUUAAGGAUUUUCAGAGUAAGGCACGGAUCAGAGUCACCAGGAGAGGCUGUAUGAUAGGUCUGUGUCUCAAGCACUUGUUCACCAGGGAAAAUAUGUCCCCAGGGGAUUGCCAAUUGUCCAGGACCUAUCACGACCAGGCUUGAAGAAACGGCUGCUUGGUUAACAAUGCUGACCUAUUUCAGCUGGACUCACGCAGGACAUUGCGGUGGGCCCCAGGCCCUCAGCUGGAUUCUCUGGGUCCCUAGUGUAUGGACAGAUGCCCUGCACUCUUUUGCGUCAGACUUUUUUUUUUUUUUUGGUAUCAGGACUUGAACUCAUGACCUCAGGCUUGCCAGGCAGGUGCUUAGCAUUUGACUUUUUGUGUAAAUAUUAUAAAAUAAUCGUAUAAAUUUUGUGUCUUGUAAGUCUUUUCCCUGUAAACCCUGACUACAACAAUAGGCUUAUAAAAUAUUUCUAUCUGCCUGGCAAGUAUGAGGUCCUGACUUUCAUUCCCACUACCCCCUGAGCAAGUAAAUAAAUAAAUAAGUAAAAUAUUUGUGAAAAAAUAUUUUUAAAACACUGAUAACUGCAGUUUCCUCUGGAGAUGCAAAUCAAAAGAGGAAGAAAGUGGAAAAUUGAUUUAUUUUUCGUUAUAAACUUUUUUGUGUUGCUUCAGUAUUUACCUCUGUUGUAUAUAUUAAUAUUAAAAAAUGAUAUGUAAUUUUU